UACAGAGGUCCCGAGCGUUAGGCGGAAUCACUGGGCUUAAAGCGUGUGUAGGUGGAUCGGUAAGUACCUUGUGAAAUCCCACAGCUUAACUGUGGAACUGCUUGGUAUACUGCCAGUCUUGAGCCAGCUAGGGGCUACCGGAACAAAUGGUGGAACGGUGAAAUGCGUAGAUAUCGGAAGGAACACCAGUGGCGAAAGCGGCUUCCUGGUCCAGCACCGACGUCAGGCACGAAAGCGUGGGGAGCAAACAGGG
rnacentral:rRNA from 1 species